GGGAGGUUGUCUAACGGUAGGACUUCAGACUCUGGUUCUGAUUAUGGUGGUUCGAAUCCAUCUCUCUCCCA
rnacentral:tRNA from 1 species